GCUUGUUUUUCACAGUUAUUUGGUCACUUGUAUGCAUUUCACACAUCUGGAACUAGGUCUAGAUAGGUGACAGAAAGCCAUUAUUUGAUUGCAGGACCUCGAGCCCCCCUGUCACCCAGUGUGUUCUUGGUGAGAGAUCAGGAUGCUGUCGCCUGCCUGAUCAGGAACUUCUACCCCAAGGAACUCCAUGUAUCCCUGACCUCCUCUGGGACCCUGAUCUCUGCUCAGAACCUCUCUCUGGCUCCAACGGCCAGUGGCACCUACAGUGCUAUCCACAUUGGCAGGGUUGGUGAGAAUGAUGCAAUAAUCUGCUCAGUGAAGCAUCUUGGGAAAGAGAUACAUAUUUUCCACCAGGCAGGUAUGAGCAGCCCCUGGUUGACAGAGAUUGUGGGGAGAGGGAGAGAGGAAGAAGGAUGCUUCAGUUAUAAUAUCAGGGGAAGGGCAUGACAGAAUGUUAAGUAAAAUUUUAAUAUAGGGAAAAAAUCCUAGAAUUCGAAUGUGUACCCUGUGAUGGACAGGAGUAUCCUAGGAAAGAGAGUCAUUUACUGUAGAUAAGAAUCCUGGUCUAGGGAGUAUGUUCUGGUUGAUGUGAGACUGUUAGGAUCAGGACAUGGUCUGGAAAGGUGAUUCCUAACAUUGAGAGAGAGUUGUGCCCUGGGGAUGCCAGUCCUGGGCUCACUGACGAUCAGAGUUGUGUUUGAGGAUGCAUUUCUAGUUUCAGAUCAUACUGGACCAGACCCUAGGAUUGCCUCUGAGAUGAAACUGUCUUGCCCUGAGCAGGAUAUCACAAGACCCGAGCAGGAAAACAAUCUACUCCUCAGUAUGCUGGGCCUGAGAUUGCUAUUCAUGAAGACUGUGGCCAUCAAUGUCAUAUUUACCACCAUGACCUUGAUCUUCUAAGAAAGAACCUUGAGGAAGAUCAUCUAAGAAGUCACUAUUUGGAUCCUGGAUACCUUUGGGGACCCCAGAAUGACCUCUGGAUUACCUCAAGAUAAAUCCAGAAUGACUCCAAGGACUCAUAAUUAACCUAGUUGCAUUCAAUCUCCUUUGAACCACAAACUCUUCAUUUCUAGGUCCAUGUCUUCCAUGAUAUAUUAUUUUUCAUCCCUUGUCCUAUAAUAAAGACAAGAAAGCCUUGCCCUGGUCUGGCCUU
rnacentral:lncRNA from 1 species